ACCGCCCCAAGCCGCCCUCACGGCCCGAGGGCCGGCAGCGGGAACGGGAGCGGGAGCGGCGCCGGAACGGCCGUCAUGACGUCACCGCGCGGCGCUCGCCGAUGGCGUCACUGCGCGGCUCCGCCUCGUCCCUGGCCGGCAGUGACCGCCAGGGGGCGCCCGAGAGCCGCCUCAGAGCUCUGGGACGGCCCCCGGUAUCCCUCAGAGCUCACAAAGCCUCGGGAUCCCCGCAGGAGCCCCGCAGACCCCCAUGGAGCGUCAGAGCCAUCACACCCCCGGCGCCCCUGAGAGCCCUCAGACCCCUGGGAACCCUCAGGCCCCUCAGACCUUCGGGACCCCUCAGAGCUCUGGGACUCCCUGAGGUGCCUUGGAGUUCUCAGGGAUCCCUGGGGUGCCUCAGAUCCCCCAGACCUGCCAGAACCCCCCAGGGCAUCUCAGACUCUCGGGGCUCCUCAGAGCUCUCAGGCUCUCACGGCCCUCUGAGAUGCCCUGGGGCAGCUCAGUCCUUCCCAGACCCCUCAGACUUCCAGGCUUCCCUGAGGUACCUUGGAUCCCUCACAACCCUGUGGUGCCUCAGACUUCUCAGACCUUCCAGGACCCUCCAGUACUCCUCAGAACCUCUGAACCCACGGGGACCCCCUGGGCCCCCCCGGACCCUUCAGCCCUCCGAAACAACUGUGCCUUUGGGCCAGUCAGGCGUUCUCUCAGGUGUCCCUGCGGGCUGAGAGGAGCCCUUUGCUCAUUGAGGACAAGGGCAGAGGGACCCCGUGGGUGUGCUAAGUGUCAUCAAGGACCGUCUGCUCCUCCGCAGCGCGCUGAGAAGGGACAGAGCUUUGGGUGGAAACUGGAUGGGAAGAGAAUGUUCCAUGUCAGAGCUGCACAAUUGCCUGUGUCCUCCUCUCCUGGGAGUGGGGAUGCCUUCCCUGUCCACGGACAUGCUGGGACAGUGUCUGUCAGUGCCCUCUCCAACCUUGGCUGGACAGGCAGUUAUGGCCCCAAGAGAUGUGUAGGACUGCUGAGGACUUCUGAGGACAGGAGUGCUUGUAUUCCUGUGGGGCAUCACCUGGCUGUAAGCCUCGGCCAAACAAGGCAGGACAGUUUGUUCCUGCUCCUACGGUCCUUGCCCUGAUGCUCUGUCACUUGAUUUCUUCAGAGGACAACUGACUUUGCUCUUAUGUGAACUUGUGUUCAUCAAGUUGUUUGGAAAAUACUAUCCUUGAGUGCUGAAAGGCAUUCCUGUGUUGGCAAGCGUAAAAUCCAUGGUAGCUGAAGUGUUUGAAUACUUCCAAGCUCCCACACCAGGCCCACAGCCACACUGUAUUAUUUUGGGUGAGAGCUGUGCUCUAAAGGCUCUUUUUGAUGAGAUCUCAAAUUCUGAGUUCUGUUACUCGCAUGGGUGCUAAGCCUGUAGUUUGAAGAUCUCAUACCUGGUUCUGUGCUCUGGGCUUUCAGAAGGAAUUGUCUUCAAGCAGAAAAUCCUGGGGAAAUUUGCAGUUUUGCAAAACUGCAGUUGCAGUUUUGAAACAGAAUAUUUUGUCAAAAUCAAAUUUAUUUCAACGAGGAACAAUCACUCUAAUGGCUGAGAAGAAUGCAAAGAUUCAAUGAGGUAUGAAUAGCUGUAAGAUGGUACAAUUACCACCUCAGAAACAAUAUAUUUGUAAAGUUAAUUCCUCUUGAACAUGAACAAUCUCCUUACACUUGACCCCUCUCUAUUGCCUCUUCCAUGCUUGAACUCUCCUUGAACUUUGUAG
rnacentral:lncRNA from 1 species